rnacentral:rRNA from 1 species
AUACGUAGGUGGCAAGCGUUAUCCGGAAUUACUGGGCGUAAAGCGCACGCAGGCGGCCAGUCAAGUCUGACGUGAAAGCUCCUGGCUUAACUGGGAGAGGUCGUUGGAAACUGAUUGGCUUGAGGCAAUGAGAGGGACACGGAAUUCCCGGUGUAGUGGUGGAAUGCGUAGAUAUCGGGAGGAACACCAGUGGCGAAAGCGGUGUCCUGGCAUUGACCUGACGCUCAUGUGCGAAAGCGUGGGGAGCGAACGGGAUUAGAAACCCCGGUAGUCC